AUAGAUUAAGAUAGUAAGAGCGUAGGGUGGAUGCCUUGGCACUGAGAGCCGAUGAAGGACGUGAUAAGCUGCGAAAAGCUUCGGGGAGGCGCAAAU
rnacentral:rRNA from 1 species